AUACGAAGUGGGCUAGCGUUGCUCGGAAUGACUGGGCGUAAAGGGCGCGUAGGCGGUUGUUACAGUCAGAUGUGAAAUUCCAGGGCUUAACCUUGGGGCUGCAUUUGAUACGUAGCGACUAGAGUUCGAGAGAGGGUUGUGGAAUUCCCAGUGUAGAGGUGAAAUUCGUAGAUAUUGGGAAGAACACCGGUGGCGAAGGCGGCAACCUGGCUCGAUACUGACGCUGAGGCGCGAAAGCGUGGGGAGCAAACAGGAUUAGAUACCCUGGUAGUCCACGCUGUAAACGAUGUGUGCUGGAUGUUGGGAAGCUUGGCUUUUCAGUGUCGAAGCUAACGCGCUAAGCACACCGCCUGGGGAGUACGGCCGCAAGGUUGAA
rnacentral:rRNA from 1 species